rnacentral:lncRNA from 1 species
CUCAGACCAGCAGAGCCAGCAGCAUCAGAAGGGACCAGAGGGAAUCAGCCUAGGUUCCGUCCUCACUGCCAAGAAACAGCCAGUUAGGCAGCAUCUCCAUUCCUCCCUGUUCUAUCCGCACUUGAUGCAGAUGAGCAGGUAACCAUGGAAGUCGUGAGCUGAGGCUGCAGAGUCUAGAGCCAGAGUGUGGAAUAAACUUGGGUCUCAAAUCACCCCUGGAGCAAAGCACCCAUCUAAUCAGGAACUUCUACUUUCAACUUUACAUGCGUGAGAAAUGAACUUCUAUCAUGUUAGAGAAAUCCUUACACGGCGCCCUUGAGAGCUUUCAUACUGCAAGUCAUCCAUUUUCCUCCCCUCAAACCUGGCAUCGGAGUUUAUUGAAACAAAGCAAAAUAAAACAAAUAGACAAAGCUCUACCUCCAUCACUUCUGCAGUCUACAUUAACCCCACGUCCAGAAUAUUCACACCUCAGGUCUUUUUCUCACAAUUGAAACACUGGUUCAGAGCCUAACGGAAGGUCUUGGAGGUAAAAACACAACUUGGGGCAACUUUUCCAUUCUGUUCUGCAUGACCCCAAUGGGACUUCUCAGAAACCCCUCUCAUGAAUUAAACUUUGUUCUGUCUAGAGCAUUAGAAUAAGCUUAUGGGCACCUGCCAGGAGAUUAUAAAGUGGGCCAUUUAAAAGAUGACAGAUAUUGAGCACCCUUGACCCUGUAGAAAGAGUGUACCUACUUGCUUUCCCUAGGGCCCUUAAUGGUUUAUAAAAACAAGCACUCACUGAUUCAAAAAAUAUCCUCAUUCCACAGUCUUGCCAUGCCUUCUUUCUGAGCACAUGGCAGUCAGUCUCUAGCACAUCCAGUGUAAGAUAGAACAGAGAUCCCAGGCCACCCUGUGGGAAGGGGUAGAGAAAUGCAAUACAUUUCACAGGAAGUAGAAACCUAGAAAGACCACACAAAAAAACCCCUGCUUUAUGGCAAAGCCAAAGAAUAUUUGUGAAGAUUCCCCGUAAACCAUUAAAUCUGACACAAGUGUCAGAGUAGGAUCACUGUUAACACUUGUUUUUACUAACAAUAAGUGCGUUGUUGCUGACCCUGGCAGAGGAGAACAGAGAGUUCUCGGCAGGGCUUCCAAUACAGAAAACACCUGCCAGGGUGUCUCUGGGUUCCCUCACCCUGGCCAGUCUCUCCAGCUUGCCCACAUCCCUGCCCCAGAGUGGGAACUGUCCCUACUUGCCCGUCUGUAUUCCUGGGCGUCGUUCACUCGGUUGAGUCUCAGCACAUAGCCAUCCUUUCUGUCUUUG